rnacentral:rRNA from 1 species
AAACCAGCACCUCAAGUGGUCAGGAGGAUUAUUGGGCCUAAAGCAUCCGUAGCCUGUUCUAUAAGUUUCCGGUUAAAUCCAUUAGCUCAACUAAUGGGCUGCCGAAAAUACUGUAGAACUAGGGAGUGGGAGAGGUAGACGGUAUUCGGUAGGAAGGGGUAAAAUCCUUUGAUCUAUUGAGGACCACCUGUGGCGAAGGCGGUCUACCAGAACACGUUCGACGGUGAGGGAUGAAAGCUGGGGGAGCAAACCGGAUUAGAAACCCGGGUAGUCC